AUCUAAAUAAAAAAUAAAAUAAAAUCAACCCCCAGUUGAUGAGAAACAGUGUUAAUACAAAUUGAAUCUAAUGGGUAUCUUAUCAGUUGCCUAUCAGCUAUUACCAAACACGUUGGUUUUACUGUUUGAGUGUGUAUCGGCUACCCAAAAGGUGAAUCAAACACCCAUUUAGUUGGAAGGCAAUUUAUGGUUUAUAAAUUACAAUCAUUUGAUACGGGUGUAUUACUGAUUCAGCAUCUGUUCUUUUACAAAUAUUUAUUAAAUUGUCUUACUGGUUUGCUGUUUUUUGGUCAGUCUCCUCUUAAUUUUGU
rnacentral:misc_RNA from 1 species